CCGGAUCUCCCUGGUGUGACGCUUAUAUCCAAAGCAACUUAGAAGAAGUACAUUUAUCAGAAGAAAGAGAACAAUGUAUCUCUGUGGGUACAGUGAGGACGUUCAUAGAACCAAGUGCCAAGCACUAACCAUCACUAGGUUAACCCAUUCCCUGUAGACAACAAGACAGCUAGGAUAAGACGCUGCACAAUGCUCAGUACUAUUUCUAGGUGCACAUUUAGCCCUUAGCUAAAUGUGUGUGUGUGUGUGUGUGUGUGUGUGUGUGUGUGUGUGUGUGUGUGUGUGUGUGUGUGUGUGUGUGUGUGUGUGUGUGUGUGUGUGUGUGUGUGUGUGUGUGUGUGUGUGUGUGUG